UACGGAGGGUGCAAGCGUUAUCCGGAUUCACUGGGUUUAAAGGGUGCGUAGGCGGACAGGUAAGUCAGUGGUGAAAUCUCUGGGCUUAACCCAGAAACUGCCGUUGAUACUAUUUGUCUUGAAUAUCCUGGAGGUAGGCGGAAUAUGUCAUGUAGCGGUGAAAUGCUUAGAUAUGACAUAGAACACCAAUUGCGAAGGCAGCUGGCUACACGAAUAUUGACACUGAUGCACGAAAGCGUGGGGAUCAAACAGG
rnacentral:rRNA from 1 species